GGUGAACGCUAGCUACAGGCUUAACACAUGCAAGUCGAGGGGUAACGAGAGGAAAGCUUGCUUUCCUUGUCGACGACCGGCGCACGGGUGAGUAACGCGUAUCCAACCUGCCCCCAACUAGGGAAUAACCUUGCGAAAGUAAGACUAAUACCCUAUAAUUUCCUCAGAUGACAUCUGACGAGGAAUAAAGAUUUAUCGGUUGUGGAUGGGGAUGCGUCUGAUUAGCUUGUUGGCGGGGUACCGGCCCACCAAGGCAACGAUCAGUAGGGGUUCUGGGAGGAAGGUCCCCCACAUUGGAACGGAGACACGGUCCAAACUCCUACGGGAGGCAGCAGUGAGGAAUAUUGGUCAAUGGGCGGAAGCCUGAACCAGCCAAGUAGCGUGCAGGAUGACGGCCCUAUGGGUUGUAAACUGCUUUUAUACAGGAAUAAAGUUAGCCACGUGUGGUUAUUUGUAGGUACUGUAUGAAUAAGGACCGGCUAAUUCCGUGCCAGCCGCCGCCGUAA
rnacentral:rRNA from 1 species